UAGCGCAGGCCGCAGCUAGCCGCCGCCUGAGGCUCCGCGCACCGCUGGCCGAAGGGCCGUCGAGCAGAGCUUUCCCGGUGAAAUAGGCGCGGCCGCUCCUGUAGGAGGCGCCAGAGAGGCACGAGGGCGCGGCGGCGUGCUGGGGAGGCGGGGUGAUGGCAGCUGCUUUGUGUGAUGGGAGUUGGGGCAGGCGGGUGGCGGUGGCUGCUGCCCGUGGAAAAAGGAGGGCCUUACACCGGUCCUUUAGCUCUGUGGAAGAAUAGUUCUCACAGGCUUGACGUCCCAGUGCCUUAUGAGAGUGCCAUUACAAUGAACAGAACUGCUUUUUUUUUUUUUUCCAUUUCCUGUUUCUCUAAAUAAACAAAGCUAGUUAGAUUGGAAUACAUUAUAACUUCUGCAGCGAGCUUCUCUGCUCGCUGAUAAGGUUGCUAAAGGCUAUGAUUUGCAUGGCAUUUCCGAGCUCCUCGUCAUUAGGACACGUUACCAACGUAACAAUUUGUCUGUCUGUCUCCCAGCAGCAGCGCAGAAGGUGCCUUAGGAACGCUGUGCCAUGGGGAAGGACUAUGACUGAACCUUUCACCAUUAAUAAAGUUGCAAUGACUUUUCCUGCGAUGAAUAAAGGAAGGAGGAAAGCAUAAAACUUCACCACUGUUCUUUAGCAGGCCGAGUAAAAUCUUCUUACCUUAGACAACAGACAACAGCUUCUGUGACUGUUCAGGAAACCAGUGAAGCCUCCAUCAGCCAACAGAUAAGUCUAGAAAAGGUGGGUAAUGUGCUUCGUAUUUGCUUUGAA
ensembl:lncRNA